rfam:Gossypium raimondii Chr03_contig_147, whole genome shotgun sequence.
UAUUAAAAAUUUCAUUCAUUUGUGUUGUUAAAACUGACGUGACUGAUGGAAUAAUCAGACAGUAACACGUGGCGUACCAUGUGUACCUCACGCUGAUGUAUAAUGCUAUAUUUUUAACAGUAAAAAUGGAUGAAACUUUUAACA